ACGCUGGCGGCGUGCCAAUACAUGCAAGUCGAACGGUCUUUCUAUGGAAGCUUGCUUCCACUGAGAAGAUAGUGGGCGAACGGGUGAGUAACACGUGGGUAACCUGCCCAUAAGAGGGGGAUAACAUCCGGAAACGGGUGCUAAUACCGCAUAGUUUUCUUGAUCGCAUGAUCGGGAAAGGAAAGACGGCCUUUGUGCUGUCGCUUAUGGAUGGACCCGCGGCGUAUUAGUUAGUUGGUGAGGUAACGGCUCACCAAGACGAUGAUACGUAGCCGACCUGAGAGGGUGAUCGGCCACAUUGGGACUGAGACACGGCCCAAACUCCUACGGGAGGCAGCAGUAGGGAAUCUUCCGCAAUGGACGAAAGUCUGACGGAGCAACGCCGCGUGAGUGAAGAAGGUUUUCGGAAUCGUAAAACUCUGUUGUCAGAGGAGAACAAGUUGGAGAGUAACUGCUCCAGCCUUGACGGUAUCUGACCAGAAAGCCACGGCUAACUACGUGCCAGCAGCAGC
rnacentral:rRNA from 1 species